GGGGGGGCGGUGACGCGCGGUGACGCACAGAGCCGUUAACGGUCCCUCGGCCGCGCUGAGGGGACAGGGGUGGCGGAGGGGGACACACGCCGGUCUGCGGCACGGAGAAGGCUGUGGUUACCGGGCGCUGCCCCCUGCCUGAAGGCCGGCGGUGAGGAGCCGUGAGGGGGAGCGGCGCGAAGCUGCCGGGGCCAGUGGGGUGUUCCGCCUGAGGGGACACUGAGGGAGGGGCUCGGAGAGCGGCGCGGGGGCGCUUAAAACCAAGCGAAAGAGGGCAAAAAGAGCCAUCGUGUUACGUCAGUGCGGUGCCUCCCAGCUGAGGGAUCGCUGUCCCACAGAGAAGUGCCCGGAAUUCCCCUGCCGAGCUCCCUCCAGGGAUGGCGGAACCCGGGCAGCCCGGCCCUGAGGAGAGAGCUUCUCCUUCCCAGUGAAGGGACAGAGCCGGGGAGAAAACCAAAGAGUUUAGUUUUUCCAAAUUCAGUGGUGGCAGGAGAUGAAACACAGGCUGGGAAGGGGAAAGCCACAGCCUGGAUCCCCCUGGGUUCUUGGUGAGGUGAAAAGCGUGGAGGGAGCGGAGCUGCUGCUUCACCCUGGUUACUGACACCGGGGGUGGAUGCCUUUGUUUCCAAGCAUGUGUUCAGAGAGAAACACUACAGUAUUCCAAACCUGAGAGGGCAGGAAAAACAACAUGGAUGAAAAAAUAAUAUUUCUCCAUCAGUGUGUGAUCGUAGGAGAUGGGAAACACUAGAUGAUGCUAUCAGAAAUACAGCUUUUUAAGGCUACAAGUCAUUCAUCAUACAAGUGUGUACUGUAAGAUGCUGUGUGGCUGUAGCCCUUGAUUAAAUGGGAAUGACCUGUUUCACCAAGCCAGCUGUUCCCUGCUGAAGAGUUGCCCAUUGUGAAUGUGUCGUUGCAGCACCCGCCAACGGGCGCCUCAGCUUCACCAUCGCAAACCUGGCCUUAAAACCCUGCAACUCAACCAUGGAAGACAAACGUUUUGACCUGAAAAGGAGAGUGUGCACCAGGAAUGUUCAUCCUUCAGAAAAUAAAAAAUUAUGCAAGAAAAUGUAUUAAUAGGACCAAAGUAACCAGUACUUAAGAGAGAAUUUAUGCUCUAAAUAUAGAGCUGUUUCGGCUAGGUCACUUGUAAACAUUAUUUUUGCAAACAUGGAGCUUUUAGAGCAAGUAACUGAGGGAAGAUGAAGGGUCAAGGCUCAGCUGCAUGGGUCUUUGCUUCACCCGCGGCUCUGUUCAUGUAACUGGCGAACGUCCACAGUGAGCCCAGUGGCCAAAUCUUUUCUGUGAGAUGAAAUAUGUAUGUGCUUGAGCAGCGCCAUGAGGCAGAUCUCAAUUUACAUAUAAAGGAAAUCAAGUGAGAAGUGACUUUUUGAAUGUGCUUGAGUGCUCAGCAAGAACUUGUGUCGACAACUGGUGUUGCAGAUGGCAUUUCCCUGCAUCUGACUUUUCCCAUUGCCUCAAACGAGAGAUUGAGACUCCUCGGGGAGCUCCAUUAGUACACGUGGGUUAUCGUAAUCCUGGUGCAGCACGUGCAGAAACCUCUCAGCAGCCGAGGAAGGUCAAUGUCAGCCAGAGAGUGAGCUGGAGAUGCUCAGCUUUGCUUCCCACCCGUGCGGCACAGCAUCUACUCCGCCAGCGCUGGAUGGUCCUUGCAAGACACCCUUAGGGAUACAAUCCUUCCUUUUAUUACAAGCCUUCCAGACCAAACGGCAGUGCUGACUCAAGCAAGUGUCAGUGCUUCCCCUCACCAUUGCCACAGCGUGAGGCCGGUACCCAAAAUCCUGCUGAAGGAGAAGCCACCGUUGCAGAAAUUGGAUGUGGCCUCAGCUCCAAGUUUGGCGAGAAUUCAGUUGACUUCAGAACACUGAGGAUUUUGUUAUUUAUCAAUCUCUGCAGCUGAAGAGCCAGGAACAUUCUGAAGCAUCUCUGUUACAGAAGAGGAUUGUUCAUUCGUUUAAAAACAACAACCACCACAAGCCCAAGGUUCUGCCCCGUUUGUGUCUGUCGUCUUUUGACCAAAAACGUCAGCUGCUGCCUUUCCGAGACAAAUAAAUACUCUGUAGUCAGAAGAAAACCCUAUUCUGCCACGGAAAAACCCCUAUUUUGUAGUACUGCUGCUUAUUUCCCAUUUGGCCAAC